AACGAACGCUGGCGGCAUGCCUAACACAUGCAAGUCGAACGGGAUCCUAGCUUGCUAGGUGAGAGUGGCGGACGGGUGAGUAACACGUGGGAAUCUGCCCUUUGGUCCGGGAUAACCGCGGGAAACUGCGGCUAAUACCGGCUGCCCUCGUGAGAGGACAGAUUUAUCGCCAGAGGAGGAGCCCGCGUCCGAUUAGGUAGUUGGUGGGGUAAAGGCCUACCAAGCCGACGAUCGGUAGCUGGUCUGAGAGGAUGCUCAGCCACACUGGGACUGAGAUACGGCCCAGACUCCUACGGGAGGCAGCAGCGGGGAAUAUUGGACAAUGGGGGCAACCCUGAUCCAGCAAUGCCGCGUGAGUGAUGAAGGCCUUAGGGUUGUAAAGCUCUUUUGCCAGGGAAGAUGAUGACUGUACCUGGAGAAUAAGCCCCGGCUAACUUCGUGCCAGCCGCCGCCGUAA
rnacentral:rRNA from 1 species